rnacentral:tRNA from 1 species
GGUGAGAUGGCCGAGCGGUCUAAGGCGCCACGUUAAGGUCUCAUAACCCCUAAAACAUCUGUUAUCCGUGGUCCGAAAGGGCGUGGGUUCGAAUCCCACUCUCAUCA